rnacentral:lncRNA from 1 species
CUCACACCAUCUGAGGGUAGCAGCAAUGAAGUAGAAGAAGCAGGUUUGCUAACUCUGAAAUCCUUUCCAGAGUAGCCAGUGAGGGAACAUCCUGUCGCACAUUAUGGGAGCUACAGGCCUUUCGAGUAAUCACCUGCAACCCUUCCUUGACGCCACUGGUGGUCUGCCGUCUUGAAGGCUGCGUCCGCUCCAGGUGAAAGCCCCACGGUCAGGUGCUCCUCGUUCUAUAACCU